GUAAUUUUUCAUCUCAACAUUGAGUUUGAUCUACGCGAAAUUGGAUAGGCCGCAGACAAACAGUGUAUACUUAUCUGCUGACAGAAUAUGGUAUGUGGUUUACUUGAACUAAAUCGGAAGAUUCACAAAAAACAUUGGUUCAUCCUGAAGUUACACUCAUAGUUACAGCUUUUGCAAGUAACAGAAGUUCACAAAAAUUGUUGUUUAUUAUGACGUUCAGAAAUCUCUAGCAAUUAGUUGAUCACGAUUAAUAUCACAGUAUAUGUUCAUCCUGAAAUUACUCUUCAAUCUUAUGGUACUAUGCUCAGCUGAUAUUCAGGUAAUUUGCUUCAUCCGUGUACUAUGGUAUUAUUUUUCCUUGACUGCAGAUCUCAGUGGUGGUGACGUUACGUAAGACAUGAAGGUGCAUGAGGCUCUACCAGAGCCUUAUGACAUUCAUCUGGUGGCAUAUAGUGCACAGCCCUUGAGCGUCUUACAAACACGAGCAUGAGACAUCAAGCUUCUGUCAGGAGACUUGCGCUUUUUUUCUUAAUGAUCUUACCAUUCUUUUGAGACCGCAUAUAUUUUAAUGGCGUGUUUUCAUUAUAAGUGGAAAUCUCUUUAUCGUUACUCUGUUGGAUGAGCAUGCAGAGAACUUUGAUGAGGACUCUGUCUGUGCAAGUUCAUCGCAGGGCAGUGUCGGCAUAUUAUUUGUAGGCAUGGCUGUUGCUUACUACCCAGCAAACUGUGCUUCAAAAGCACAUCUCUAGCCAGUUGGUACAUAAACAUUCCCAUUCCGGAGGUAUUUGAUACAUGCCAGCUAUAACACACCAACUCAUCAAAUUGAUAUCUACCUUCACUAUAUACAUGCUUAGCACACAAAUGGCCACUUAUUACAGAUAUGGGAACAGCCAUAUGAAGUAGAAUGGCACGGAUCAGAUGCAAGGGCUGACCCUGUUGAGAUAACAUUGCAUGCUUUGUGCAAAGAAGAAAGAGAUUUCACUAUGGGAAAGUACUAUAAGAUGACAUUUAUUGUCACAGAGGUCAAGAAUUCUGAUGGCUGCUGUUCAGGACCUGCAAGGUAUGCUGGAAAAUAUCCCUAAUGGAAAUGCUUACAGAUGCACCUACAACUGCUUCUGCAAAGAAGAUACGCAUGGGUAAGAAACUAGGUUGUGUACACUGAUGAAACCGUCCCUGCUCAUAUAAACAAGAAAAAUAAAGAGGCCAACGUUGCCAUCAGCAAGAAACACAAAAACUGCGUUGUCUACAGAAAAAUCUUCCAUGGCUUCUCCAUCUGGCGAAUCACCAAAUACAACAGCAGAUAGGCGCCACACCAAGCAAAGACAUCAUAGAUGAUGUCAGCUCUGUGUCUGAAAGGAAGAGAGGAAGGCCACUGCCUCAGAUUCUGCAUUGGCUAAGAAAUAGGUCAGCAAGGCGUUCUUCCCACGCCAAUAAAGACGAUGUCACUUGCCAGUAAGAAUAAACCUCAAAACAAUGGUUAUCCAGAAGCAAUGCAGUUGUAAGAAAAUACUCAACUUUACCUUUCUCUUCGCUUUCGCACCCACACAUAUCCUCACUUCCAAGAAAAGGUCAAUACAGAGUGAGAAUAGAAAGAUUGGUUAAGGGCAGAUUUCAUAGACUACUACUGAUCUUCUAUGUGUAAUAUUAUGGAGCUACCAACUACUCUAGACAAUAUGUGCUUUUGAUGCAUUGUGGUAUGACGGAGUAGCUAUGACCCAUCUGUGUGUAAUAACAUAAGAUGUAAUCCAAUGUUCCACAAUAGCACGAAGUUAUCUACCGCUCCAGCAGCAACAA